CGCUCACUGAGAGAGCACUCACACACACACACACACACACACACACACACACACACACACACACUCUGAAAACAUAUGCAGAAAGUCCCUGCCCCACCCACAGCCUCUCUCACACACACACACUCAUUCAGUCAGUGAGGGAGAAGCUCCACUCCACUCCUCACACACACCCUCAGUCACACACACACACACACACUGCUCCUGCUGCCGCUGCCAUGAAGCCCACUGGAAUAGUUCUGCUGGUCGUGUCCAUCACACUCCUCCAUAAAGGUGACUCUCUACAAGCAAAUCUAACCAACCCAGCCGGUGAGUCUGAUACAGCAAAUCCAACGCCACAAGCCGCAGGCGAGGUCACUUCUCCUCAUCCACAGACCGAAAAGCCCGUGACUGCCAGUCUAACGACAAAAAGUCCUGAUCCGAACAAUGACUCCAAACAGACUUCCCAGAGCCCUACCACCAAGUCCCCUGCAGACCCCAAUAAAGAUGCAGAAGGUGAUGCCAAAGACCAAGAGACAGGAACUGAAGUGAAGCCAGCUGUCAAUGAGACAAAUGAAUUGCCACCUAAUACAGGAUCUGGAACAAACAAUCAGGAGAGUGGCCAAAAUGCAGAAGGUGAUGCCAAAGACCAAGAGACAGGAACUGAAGUGAAGCCAGCAGUCAAUGAGACAAAUGAAUUGCCAUCUGAUACAGGAUCUGGAACAAACAAUCAGCAGAGUGGCCAAAAUGCAGAAGGUGAUGCCAAAGACCAAGAGACAGACCGGAGAAUCCUGUGGAUUUUGUUGCCUGUUUUGGGUGUGUUGGUGGCAGGUGUGAUCUUUGUCCUCAAGUUCAAAUGCAUGAAAGUGCAUGAUCAUGCAGAACCUACUGAGAAUGGCACAGAGAACGCCUCCUUCCAAAGGUCUGACAGCAACAAAGAUGGCGUCAUGCUCCUGGGUGUGAAGACUUCUGGCGGAGAGGAAAACGCAGCGGCGAGAUAAGAUGGACGGCAGCCGAAAAGGACAGUCACUCAAGAAAGCAAGAGACACUUCUACACCCUCACCGCCACUGGAGAUCCUCCUGAUCGCCAUCAAUGGAUUCCACUUCACAGAUAUCACCAAAGAGCACUGAAGUGGGUUAGACUACAAACAUCCAAUGUGACGUAUGGUAUUUUCCUGUACAUUAAGCCAGAGAACUAAAAUAUAUAUAUAUACAUAUAUAAUACUGAAGUAAUGAAACAUGCAAGCGUGCAUAUAGACUGACAUAAUUAUAUGUCUGAUGGCUGAAAUUUCAUGUCAAUUUGAGACCAAUUGCCAUUGUUUAACACUAAAAACCAAUUGUCUUGUGGCAAUGUUUAACACUGAAACCAGUUGUGAACACUGAAGACCGUCUGGCAAAUGAGUGAAUGAUAUGAUAUUUCAGCCCCUGACGCCGUUGACAAAAUGGAUCACUGCCAUUGCUUCUCUCUCUCUCUCGAUAUAAUGGAUGAUAUUUGGGCUGAAGCAUCAGUCUCCUCUGCUUGUUCGUGUUUGCACUGAUAGCCUAGAUAAUGUCAGUUAAUUACUGUGUGAGAUGCCUUGGAUUCAGUGGAUAAGCUCAAGUGAAUUCACUGAUGUAAAUUGGAUAGUGUAUUAACACCUAAGAAAAUAAAGCGAGCUUGUGCGUUCAAGGUUCUGAAUAUUACGACUCACUGUUUUGGUAAUAGCUUCGAAGGCUUGAGUGAAUUUUUUCCAUAUUUUUGUAUCACAAAACAUAUUACUUUAACAACUAUGCAAACGCUUCUUUUAGAUUUAUAUUGAUAUUGGUCUUACACUGAAUAAAUCAUCAGGCCACAGUUAUUUGAUCAUCUCUCCAUGUUUUGCAUAAGCUGUCAAUCUAAGUCUCUUCUUUUUCCAUUUUUUUUUUUACCCUUUCUGUUUCGAUUGUAUUAAACUUGUAUGGGUUUCUAAUCUGUCAUGGACACGGAGUUCCCUGUUUUCUCUGCUGUAUAUUUGACUGCUCUCAGUAUCUGUGCUACUGGUCUUACUAAGUUAUAAAUGAAUAGAAAAAUGAAGGAUAUUCAAGCUUGCAGCAUGCAUUCAUAUGUGAAUCCAGCGGAAAAAGAUUGCUGAUCGUGUUUUGUGUGUUUGUUUGUUUGUUUGUUUGCUUGUUUUUCUGUUGUUUCUGUGCUGUUUUUCCACGUGGAUCUGUGUCGUUAGAGAGGGCCCACGCUUCACAACCUUGGCUUCCCAUAUUCUGUAUGCGAAACAUGAAUCUGAGAUGAAGCAAUCAGUUCUGCCACAACAUUUGAACACACCUGCUGCCUCUGUUAAAUGUUAUCCACAUGAGCAGUUUGUUUGUCUGUGUCUUUCUUGUGUUUCUCUCUCCAUUAAAAUACCUUCCUCCCCGAGGACCAAAAAAGCAAAUCUCUUUGGCAUUUAAUAAAAGCCCCGCAUUAAUCCUGUGACAUCCUCAACACCUCAGCGUCUGACGCUAAUAGCCCUCAGCUCACACGGCCUGGCCAGCUCCCGCACACAGAAACAGACUGCUGCUAUGAAUAUAGCUAUCACAGCCUCGCCAUCAAGCGUACAAUAAUAACAGCAUUGUUGCUAGGCGCUCAUCUGCACGGCUGCCCCUAGUCACUGUGGGUGACACAGAUUGUCAUCAUGGCUAGCAUGUAGCAUAUAGCAUGUAGCAGGAACAUAAUGAUGCACUCUGCUUGGCGGACAUCAUUAUUAUUACGCAUUAGAGGAGAUUUAUUUGAGGUUAAUGUUGGUUUUACCCAAUAAACGUUGCACUCGGUCAAAGUACGUGUGAGUGAGUCUCUUCCUCUCUUGUUCAACUGAUAUUAUUCAGCCUACGUCAGUAUGAGGGUACUUUAUUGGGGUGUAAGAUCAUCGGCAAUUCCACGGAUGAAUUCCAAGUGAAUUCUGGCUUAGGGUUAAUCCAAAUCAUGCUCUUCAGUGAAAAGGUUUCCUGC
ensembl:lncRNA